rnacentral:rRNA from 1 species
UGCCAGACUCCUACGGGAGGCAGCAGUGGGGAAUAUUGGGCAAUGGAGGAAACUCUUACCCAGCAAUGCCGCGUGAAUGAAGAAGGUCUUCGGAUUGUAAAGUUCUUUAAUUGGGGACGAAAAAAAUGACGGUACCCAAGGAAUAAGCCCCGGCUAACUACGUGCCAGCAGCCGCGGUAAUACGUAGGGGGCAAGCGUUAUCCGGAUUUACUGGGUGUAAAGGGAGCGUAGACGGCAUGGCAAGUCAGAUGUGAAAGCCCGGGGCUCAACCCCGGGACUGCAUUUGAAACUGUCAGGCUGGAGUGCAGGAGAGGUAAGUGGAAUUCCUAGUGUAGCGGUGAAAUGCGUAGAUAUUAGGAGGAACACCAGUGGCGAAGGCGACUUACUGGACUGUAACUGACGUUGAGGCUCGAAAGCGUGGGGAGCAAACAGGAUUAGAUACCCUUGUA